UUGAACGCUGGCGGCAUGCUUUACACAUGCAAGUCGAACGGCAGCGGGGGCUUCGGCCUGCCGGCGAGUGGCGAACGGGUGAGUAAUGCGUCGGAACGUACCGAGUAAUGGGGGAUAACGCACCGAAAGGUGUGCUAAUACCGCAUACGCCCUCCGGGGGAAAGCAGGGGAUCGUAAGACCUUGCGUUAUUCGAGCGGCCGACGUCUGAUUAGCUAGUUGGUGAGGUAAUGGCUCACCAAGGCGACGAUCAGUAGCGGGUCUGAGAGGAUGAUCCGCCACACUGGAACUGAGACACGGUCCAGACUCCUACAGGAGGCAGCAGUGGGGAAUUUUGGACAAUGGGGGCAACCCUGAUCCAGCCAUUCCGCGUGAGUGAAGAAGGCCUUCGGGUUGUAAAGCUCUUUCAGCUGGAACGAAACGGUACGCUCUAACAUAGUGUGCUAAUGACGGUACCAGCAGAAGAAGCACCGGCUAACUACGU
rnacentral:rRNA from 1 species